rnacentral:lncRNA from 1 species
CCCGGCCAUGGCUGCCCUAGGGCUGAGGGGCAGCCAAGGGCCGCCGGGUCUGCCGUGCCGGCGACCAACGCGGCCUCAAGGCCGCCAGCCCCAGCCGAGCCCCACCUCUCCGCCGGCCGAGAGGUGGUGGCGAGACUCCCACAAGAAAAAGGAAAAAGGGGGAAGAAGGAAACAGAAAAAAAAAAAAAAGAAACAUUAAAAUACUUACCUCGGACCACGGCCUUACCUCGCCGUGGUCGGAGCCGGUGAAGACCCCCGGAGGAGGUCCGGCCUCGACCUCGCCUCCCGGCCCUCCCCCUCUUCUCCAG